GGGCCCGUGGUCUAGCUUGGCUAGGAUGCUGGCCUUGGGAGCCAGUGGUCCCGGGUUCAAAUCCCGGCGGGCCCA
rnacentral:tRNA from 2 species